GAGAAAUAAGAUGUUCUUAGGCAUUUGAAAAUUGGGUUUAUGUAAUUGCAGAAAUUGGAUUGAAAAAGUUGGAACAAACUAAGUUCUAUCCUGGCUCAUUUGUCGCAAUUAAUCAUCAGCUGCAGAUAUAGAUGGUGGUUAAUCAUUCAAGUAUAACGCGAAUGAGACUUAUGCUUACAAAGGAGACAUCGUUACCGGGAUAUAGUUAGUGAUCAUGCAGAGCUUAAAAGAUAGGGGUGUUGGCUGCAAGAAAACGAGGAUGACACCUCAGCUGUAUGAACCUGCUUUAGCAGAAAUGAUAAUGGGGAGCAAUACACUAUGGUUAAAAACGGUGAACCAGUUAUCUGGGUAAGGGGACCGUAAGAAAUGUCUGUUAGAUUUAUUUUCUUAAAUCCAAAACUAUUGCACCCUUCAUUUUUCAUCUAGCGGCAUUGUAUAAAGUUGUUUAUAGUUUUUUGGAUCAGGGAUAAGUAACAAUGUUACUAAUUCCUUACCAGGUUAUAUUUCUCUAACUCUGAGACCUAUUCUUUAUCGAAGUGGCGUCGAUUAAAACUUAAAAUUAGGAAAAAAAAAAAGAGUAACCUCAAACUAUCUUUGUUCACAGUAUUUAUUUUUCUUUUGUUGUCGAGCCUUUUGUGAGACGUGGAUUCUUCUUGCGUGACCUUUUUUGUUGUUUGUUUUUGUGAAGAACAAUAAAAUUAGGAAGGUAAACAUCGGGAAAAGGAUUCUAGAAACACUUCAAGCAACUUCAAUGCUGACACAUAAAUAAAUAAAAAAAUCAUCAGGAGCAUGAACUCGGAUAAUCUCCUUAUCUUAUUUUUCCUAAUUAAUGUCAAGAAUCUUUUAACAUCCUUGUUUAAGAGAUUGUCCUGCAUAUCAUGUUACUUAGUAUGCUCCACUGUCUUUCUAAACUUCCUCAAAUUUGAUUUUGGUUUCUCUUUUACCUGACUCAAAUUUGUUGAAUUUAGAAUAAUUAGAUCAUCAUCAUUGCACUGUACCUUUGAAACCAAAUAUGUUUUCAUCCUGCAUUAACAAUUGUCGCUGCUCAUCUUACAUUCCGCAACUGAGGAGCCAAAUCGACCAGGUUAAAGCUCCGUUUGGGAUUGUUUUUUUCAACCAAAAGCACUUUGUAACUAACUUGUAACAAAUUUUUACCAAAAAUUGUGUUUGGUAAUUUUUUUUCAAAGUGUUUUUGGAGAGAAGCACUUUCAUUUUAGGCAUGCUUUUAAAAGCUACUCAGCACUA